rnacentral:rRNA from 1 species
UACGGAGGAUGCAAGCGUUAUCCAGAUUUAUUGGGUUUAAAGGGUGCGCAGGUUGUUUGAUAAGUCAGUGGUGAAAGUCUGUCGCUUAACGGUAGGAUUGCCAUUGAUACUGUUGGACUUGAAUAUGGAUGAGGUAGGCGGAAUGUGUAGUGUAGCGGUGAAAUGCAUAGAUAUUACACAGAACACCGAUUGCGAAGGCAGCUUACUAAUCCAUCAUUGACGCUGAGGCACGAAAGCGUGGGGAUCAAACA